GAGAGUUUGAUCCUGGCUCAGGAUUAACGCUGGCGGCGUGCAUAACACAUUCAAGUCGAACGGAAACAGGCCUUCGGGUUUGUUUUAGUGGCGGACGGGUGAGUAACGCGUGAGCAAUCUGCCCUUUACUGCGGAAUAACAGAGAGAAAUUUCUGCUAAUACGGCAUGCACCGUAGAGACCGCAUGGUCAAAUACGGGAAAGAUUUAUCGGUAAAGGAUGAGCUCGCGUCCGAUUAGAUAGUUGGUGACGGUAACGGCGCACCAAGUCGACGAUCGGUAGCCGGACUGAGAGGUCGGACGGCCACAUUGGGACUGAGACACGGCCCAGACUCCUACGGGAGGCAGCAGUGGGGAAUAUUGGACAAUGGGGGAAACCCUGAUCCAGCGACGCCGCGUGAAGGAAGAAUGCCCUCGGGUUGUAAACUUCAGUAGGCAGGGACGAAACAAAUGACGGUACCUGCAGAGUAAGCCACGGCUAACUACGUGCCAGCAGCCGCGGUAAUACGUAGGUGGCGAGCGUUAUCCGGAAUUACUGGGUGUAAAGGGUGAGUAGGCGGGUCUGCAAGUCAGGAGUGAAAUGUACGGGCUCAACCCGUGCCGUGCUAAUGAAACUGCAGAUCUUGAGUGCGGAAGAGGUAAAUGGAAUUCCCGGUGUAGCGGUGAAAUGCGUAGAUAUCGGGAGGAACAUCUGUGGCGAAGGCGAUUUACUGGGCCGCAACUGACGCUGAUACACGAAAGCGUGGGUAGCAAACAGGAUUAGAUACCCUGGUAGUCCACGCCGUAAACUAUGAUAACUAGCUGUUGGCGAUAUACAGUCAGUGGCUGAGCGAAAGCAUUAAGUUAUCCACCUGGGGAGUACGACCGCAAGGUUGAAACUCAAAGGAAUUGACGGGGGCCCGCACAAGCGGAGGAGCAUGUGGUUUAAUUCGAUGAUACGCGAGGAACCUUACCUGGGCUCGAACGUAGAUCGAUGUAUGCCGAAAGGUAUAUUCCCUUCGGGGCGAACUACGAGGUGCUGCAUGGUUGUCGUCAGCUCGUGCCGUGAGGUGUUAGGUUAAGUCCUGUAACGAGCGCAACCCUUAUCUUUAGUUGCCAGCAUGUAAUGAUGGGGACUCUAAAGAACUGCCAGCGCAAGCUGUGAGGAAGGUGGGGAUGACGUCAAAUCAGCACGGCCCUUAUGUCCUGGGCUACACACGUGCUACAAUGGUCGAUACAGAGGGCAGCUACUUGGUGACAAGAUGCAAAUCUCUAAAAUCGAUCUCAGUUCGGAUCGGAGUCUGUAACUCGACUCCGUGAAGUUGGAUUCGCUAGUAAUCGCAUAUCAGCCAUGAUGCGGUGAAUACGUUCCCGGGCCUUGUACACACCGCCCGUCAAGCCAUGGAAGCUGGGGGUGCCUAAAGUCCGUAACCGCAAGGAGCGGCCUAGGGUAAAACUAGUAACUGGGGCUAAGUCGUAACAAGGUAGCCGUAG
rnacentral:rRNA from 1 species